rnacentral:rRNA from 1 species
ACGUAGGGUGCAAGCGUUAAUCGGAAUUACUGGGCGUAAAGCGUGCGCAGGCGGUUAUGUAAGACAGAGGUGAAAUCCCCGGGCUCAACCUGGGAACUGCCUUUGUGACUGCAUGACUGGAGUGUGGCAGAGGGGAAUGGAAUUCCGUGUGUAGCAGUGAAAUGCGUAGAUAUGCGGAGGAACACCGAUGGCGAAGGCAGUUCCCUGGGCCUGCACUGACGCUCAUGCACGAAAGCGUGGGGAGCAAACAG